ACUCUUGUAUAGACUUCAUACUUGAAAUCACAGAAUUUAAGCAUGAGGUAAAAGGAUAUUCAUUAAGAACAAGAAUGUCUAUACAAUUUCAAGAACAUGAAAUUAAAUAAACAAAACUCGUCUUCCUUUGUUAGGGUUGCAUCCAGCCCUAGAGAAGAGCUUAGGCUUCCAUGCAGUGGUGGACGGCAGCAGCGCAGGAGGCUUCCAUCACGUCUAGCUUUUCUUCCUUUCCUCCACAGGCUUUUCUCCUCUCCAAAUAAAGUACUAGAUGGGAUAUUGGAUACUAGCCCCCGCUGCCUCCCCUGUUCACGUUGACUCCCCUUUAUAUAGGCUGCCAACUUCCUCUCACUUCCCCUGUUCCAAGUGAAGGAUAAGGAUGAAAGGAAGCGGGAUAAGGCAGAUGACUCUAAUCCUUAAUCCUUGGAUGCGGUGCGGAGGAUUUGAGCUGAUCCAGACAUUGGGAAGAUGAUAAGCUGGGGACUGAUCAUGUUGAAGGAGUCGGCUUGAUGCUCAGAUACAAGGGAUGUUGCUCACAGCUGAGAUGAGGGAAGUCGUUGGGAGGACCUCGGAGGAGUUGAAUCCACGAACGCUAAUUCGUUCUGCGGAUAAAGAUGCUGGAUGCGAAGAUCGUGGGAUAUGGCCUUGGAGGAUCAUCCACGAAUGCUGAUAUUUGCUGGGUUUUGAGCUUGGAGCAUCAGAUUCAUCAUGGAUGGCGAGCAUGGGAUGCUGGGACUCUGUUCUGAAGCAGGAGAAUCUGGAAGAAGAUUUGAUGGUUGGGAGCUUAUCCGUGGAAGGGGAAGUGGUUGUUUUGAUUCGUGAUGAAGAGGAGAUGAUUUAGGAGUAGGGGAUGUGAAGAAAUCGGCUGAUUAGUUGCAAUUUGCUGGGAGUUUUGUUCUUCACGGCUAAAAANNN
rnacentral:lncRNA from 1 species